rnacentral:rRNA from 1 species
ACUUGGUGUGAAUUGCAGAAUCCCGUGAACCAUCGAGUUUUUGAACGCAAGUUGCGCCCAAAACCUUCGGGUCGAGGGCACGUCUGCCUGGGUGUCACGU